rnacentral:ncRNA from 1 species
UGAAUUUUAAGCCAACUUUGGUGUGAGCCAUGUGACGGAAAGCCACGGAUCUUUUUAAGAUGGCCGGGUUGCAUAG